UGACUAGAUCAUAAAUGAACAAUUGUCCAGACAGAGGCUUGAGUUUGCGAAUUGACGGUUUAUUGAACCAACUUUACACAGGCUACUGUUUGGGCCGUAGCACACGCCAAAUAGAUGACAGAUAACCCACAAGCCAAUCGUGACCUUCCCUUGUGAAGCCCAGACGUAAGAGAGAGAGAACAAAGGCUGAACCUGGUCUUAACUUCCAAUGCCCAACCCCCCUCCACGCCACUCCGCCAACCACCAGGAUGCCCGGCAUCAGAACAUUCCAGGCAUUCCCGUGAUUGGCAGAUAGCAGGUUGAUUGACAUGUCGGACCCCGCGAACACCGGGUACUGGUCAGUACAACACAACCACCUCCUAGCCUAGCACAUAACACACAGCUGUCUGUGCGGGUCGCUACAAUACAUUGUGGUUUUGAUCCUAUCGAACACGGCCAUGGACUACUAGCUACAUCACAAAAUAAAAUACUUUUCGGGAGGGAAAGAGAUUGAUGAUGGUUAGAAGAGCGCCUUUACCUUGAAAAGACAGUUAAAUGGCAUCCCUUGCGAGGACGAGAACAAGAUGUAUGUCAGGAGGAAAAGUGCAGUAUUAUCACAAGGAAAUGUAUACUUGGAAUACGGGUGAGGAAUAGAGGGGAAAAGAGGCAGAUGAGGUCUAAGAGAGAGAAGGAGGAAAAGGGUGUUUGAAUCGGUUAGCGGGCGGGCGGAAAAGAGAGAUUGGAAGAAGGUGUAAGCAGAGUGAGCUGUACGCCGGAUAGAAGACAGGAGGCGAAAUGGAAGUGAAUGAGGGCGAAGUAUCGGUGGUAGGUGCGGUAAAGUCAUCGGAGAUCGAUGUAUGCACCGAUGAUCAGGAUGAAGAAGAAUCUGUGACAGUAGGUGUGAAGUUUAUGUAGAAAGUGGACUCGUGCCUUUUGGCUGGUCGAUUUGUGGUUUCACGGUGGGUGGAAAACAAGUGUUUGGUCAUGUGGAAUCGUUGCGGGGUAACUAGAAGUGGUCUAGUGAUAAUGGUUUAUGUUGGGCAGAGGAAGAAUGCGCUUGAAGUAAAACGAAUGGGGGUAAGUAAAAGUGAAGCGUUUCGUUCUCAAGAAAAAGGCACCAGUGAAAGGAGAUAUAACUGGGCUAGCAGUAGAUAUAGACGAUGACCAGUUGAAGGCAAAGAUUCCCGGUGUAUGUGAUGCUCGGCGUUUGAUGCGACGCAGACCGGGUGGGGGAACAGAGUCGGUGUCUGUUCUUUUGAGUUUUGAAGCAGAGUCUUUGCCUGAUAAAGUGAAGAUGGGAUCUAUAAAGUUAUCCUGUACGAGCCUAUGUGCCGAAUAUGUAGUAGAGUAGUAGAGAGAUACUAGUACAGAGGGAGGAGUGGUGAGAGUAGUAGAGAUAUACUAGUACAGAGGGAGGAGUGGUGAGAGUAGUAGAGAUAUACUAGUACAGAGGGAGGAGUGGUGAGAGUAGUAGAGAUAUACUAGUACAGAGGGAUAGGCCGAAAAGUUUCAGUAAGAUUGGAUUUUUAGCAUUUACAACAAUGGUUAUUAAUUGUACUGCAGGAAUAGAUCAGAAGUCUCAGAAAAUGUAGGCUGUGGUGGCAGCUGUAGAGAGGCAUUUGGGUGUGCAGGACUUGACCGCAGGAGAGUUACAGGAUGUUGUGAUUUCCCAUCCUUUAGGGUGAUGGCAUGAGGUAGGAAUAAAUACAUUUAAUUAGUGGAGUAUGGGGGUGUUAAAUGAUUUAAAAUAAAAUUAUUUUGAAAUUAGUGAAUAUAGUGUUUAGGACAUUUUUCUACUUUAAGUAUAAGGUCUUGUAGGUCUGGCAGUAAUGGAACAAAUUUGAUGCAACCCUCGUUAACCUCAUAGAAUAAGGAGAUGAAAGACCUCCAAUCGUCAAUAUGACUGGCUGCGUUUUGCUACAAUCAUUAUUUAGUUUUCCAAGAACCCGUAAAACAGAGGCAGUGGGAGAACCUAUUAAAGUAAGUAAAAAUGUCACUAGUUAACUUUACAUAUCACCAGCUUGCUAACUUCAUAUUAGCUAUCUUGAUGUACUUUAUUUAUCGUUGUAACACAAAAUGCAUUUGUAGCUAGGUAGGUAACGUUAGCUAGCUAACAGCCAUGGAAGAGGGUGAAAGGAUGGUGAAAGGAUUAGCCAGCACUUCCAGGUGUCAGAGAAGGGAGAGUAGGCUACUCGGGGAUAGGGAAGAUCCAGCCCCUAGCGAGAAACUGAGGACAGAGUGAUAUAGCAUCGUAAUAUUAAGGGCUGUCUAACUUGAGUAUAAUGGAAAGGGAAAAAAUGCAGCCUGUUUCCUUGUGAUGUUUUCUGUCUUCAGAUACAGAGAGCUGUCGAAGCCUGUCUGCAGAUGAAGAGGUCCCAGUGAAUGUCCCAAGAGAGUGGUGAAAUGUCUGGAAGCACGAGAUGGGAUCCUUAGCUUAAAACAUACACACAACUACUACUACCAAGUCCAAUGCCAGAUACUUUUCUCCAAGGUCCGAGUGGCACUGUGAAGAUUGUUUGACGAAGACUACCACAACAAUUACAUUGUCUAUGCUAAAUGUGUUUAAAUUGUUAAGAAAUAAAAUAGUUAGGCUAUAAGAAAUACUUUCUAUUCAAUGGAACUAGGCAAAGCAAAGAUUACUAUUUUAAUUUCACCCAUACAACAAUGUAGCCUAUUAUUAAAGUACAGUAUGUUUACAAUAUCAUAAACAGUAGUAUUUUACACGUUCCAAAUGACAUUUUACAUACUCAUACAGUUUUGUCUUGACAAAGUGAAGGUGCUCUACUCAAAUGGAAUCAACAGAAUCAUUCAGAUUGACCAAAGCACAUCAUAUAACAACCAUCUUGUAUAAUUGAGUGAAGUCUCCUUUCAUAUUUGGAAAAGGACAAAGUACUAGAAGUAGAAACGGAUGCUUCUGCAGCAUUGCUCAUCUUCACAGUGGGUAUCCAGUCAGCAUGGGUGUCUUAAUAGAGGUCAACUGGGGAGCCUACAGUAGUACAUAAAAUGAAAAUCACACCUGAUGUUAGAAUAUCACUUCUUCAGGUCACCUAUACCAUCAGGGCACUUAAUUGUUUGGUUGUGUUUAAUUCAUUCUGGUGUUAAUACCAUAUAAAGAUUACAUAUAUUGUUGGGCUGGAACAAGCAAUAGUCAACACAGCAGGUUGUCCUAUCCUAUUGAGUCUUUUUUCCUAUGUUGUAAUGUGCAUACAUUUUCACUCUUAUGAAUAAAGUUCUCAACAAAUUUUCA